GCCUUCGUGGUGUAGUGGUCAGCACGCUCGGCGCGUAUUCGAGAGGUCCGAGGUUCGAGUCCCGGUGAGGGCA
rnacentral:tRNA from 1 species